AGUAACACGUGGGUAACCUGCCCAUCAGAAGGGGAUAACACUUGGAAACAGGUGCUAAUACCGUAUAACAAUCGAAACCGCAUGGUUUCGGUUUGAAAGGCGCUUUUGCGUCACUGAUGGAUGGACCCGCGGUGCAUUAGCUAGUUGGUGAGGUAACGGCUCACCAAGGCAACGAUGCAUAGCCGACCUGAGAGGGUGAUCGGCCACACUGGGACUGAGACACGGCCCAG
rnacentral:rRNA from 1 species